rnacentral:rRNA from 1 species
GUAGCCGACCUGAGAGGGUGAUCGGCCACAUUGGAACUGAGACACGGUCCAAACUCCUACGGGAGGCAGCAGUGGGGAAUAUUGCACAAUGGGCGAAAGCCUGAUGCAGCAACGCCGCGUGAGUGAUGAAGGCCUUCGGGUCGUAAAACUCUGUCCUCAAGGAAGAUAAUGACGGUACUUGAGGAGGAAGCCCCGGCUAACUACGUGCCAGCAGCCGCGGUAAUACGUAGGGGGCUAGCGUUAUCCGGAUUUACUGGGCGUAAAGGGUGCGUAGGCGGUCUUUCAAGUCAGGAGUGAAAGGCUACGGCUCAACCGUAGUAAGCUCUUGAAACUGGGAGACUUGAGUGCAGGAGAGGAGAGUGGAAUUCCUAGUGUAGCGGUGAAAUGCGUAGAUAUUAGGAGGAACACCAGUUGCGAAGGCGGCUCUCUGGACUGUAACUGACGCUGAGGCACGAAAGCGUGGGGAGCAAACAGGAUUAGAUACCCUGGUAGUCCACGCUGUAAACGAUGAGUAC